rnacentral:rRNA from 1 species
CCAGCUUGCUGGGGGAUUAGUGGCGAACGGGUGAGUAACACGUGAGUAACCUGCCCUUAACUCUGGGAUAAGCCUGGGAAACUGGGUCUAAUACCGGAUAUGACUCCUCAUCGCAUGGUGGGGGGUGGAAAGCUUUAUUGUGGUUUUGGAUGGACUCGCGGCCUAUCAGCUUGUUGGUGAGGUAAUGGCUCACCAAGGCGACCACGGGUAGCCGGCCUGAGAGGGUGACCGGCCACACUGGGACUGAGACACGGCCCAUACUCCUACGGGAGGCAGCAGUGGGGAAUAUUGCACAAUGGGCGAAAGCCUGAUGCAGCGACCCCGCGUGAGGGAUGACGGCCUUCGGGUUGUAAACCUCUUUCAGUAGGGAAGAAGCGAAAGUGACGGUACCUGCAGAAGAAGCGCCGGCUAACUACGUGCCAGCAGCCGCGGUAAUACGUAGGGCGCAAGCGUUAUCCGGAAAUUAUUGGGCGUAAAGAGCUCGUAGGCGGUUUGUCGCGUCUGCCGUGAAAGUCCGGGGCUCAACUCCGGAUCUGCGGUGGGUACGGGCAGACUAGAGUGAUGUAGGGGAGACUGGAAUUCCUGGUGUAGCGGUGAAAUGCGCAGAUAUCAGGAGGAACACCGAUGGCGAAGGCAGGUCUCUGGGCAUUAACUGACGCUGAGGAGCGAAAGCAUGGGGAGCGAACAGGAUUAGAUACCCUGGUAGUCCAUGCCGUAAACGUUGGGCACUAGGUGUGGGGGACAUUCCACGUUUUCCGCGCCGUAGCUAACGCAUUAAGUGCCCCGCCUGGGGAGUACGG